AUUUAAUCGGAACAUGGAGAACCACCCGGGAAAACAGUACAACCACAAGAACUAUCAUGGCUCUGGUCUUGGCUAAUUAAUUAGAAACCUUAGUCUGGGGUAAUCUUACCGAAAGGGCAAGAGGGGUGGCGGCAGAUGGGGUAUAACCAGCCCUCACACUAAUUUGCUCUAUGGUAGCUUCGCGGUCUUGAGAGAGAUUUAUGCACACUACCGAUCCAGAAACCUUAGCAGGUUACCACUUACUAGGGAAUCUUUGUAAAGAUCUCGUAGCGUCCCUAUGCAAUUACACCUCGAAAG
rnacentral:lncRNA from 1 species